rnacentral:lncRNA from 1 species
GAUGCUCACCGGGCGUGGUGGCUUAUGCCUGUAAUCCCAGCACUUUGGGAGGCCGAGGUGGGUGAAUCACGAGGUCAGGAGAUCGAGACCAUCCUGGCUAACGUGGUGGUGGGCGCCUGUAGUCUCAGCUACUCGGGAGGCUGAGGAGAAUGACGGAGAGUAUAGGCUAUCUUAAACCUAGAUGGCUUAUUUUCCUCUGGAGGUAGGUUUGAGCUUCUGGAAUAGAAGGGACUCCAUC